AUUGAACGCUGGCGGCAGGCCUAACACAUGCAAGUCGAGCGGUAGCACAGGGAGCUUGCUCCUGGGUGACGAGCGGCGGACGGGUGAGUAAUGUCUGGGAAACUGCCUGAUGGAGGGGGAUAACUACUGGAAACGGUAGCUAAUACCGCAUAACGUCUUCGGACCAAAGAGGGGGACCUUCGGGCCUCUUGCCCUCCGAUGUGCCCAGAUGGGAUUAGCUAGUAGGUGAGGUAAUGGCUCACCUAGGCGACGAUCCCUAGCUGGUCUGAGAGGAUGACCAGCCACACUGGAACUGAGACACGGUCCAGACUCCUACGGGAGGCAGCAGUGGGGAAUAUUGCACAAUGGGCGCAAGCCUGAUGCAGCCAUGCCGCGUGUAUGAAGAAGGCCUUCGGGUUGUAAAGUACUUUCAGCGAGGAGGAAGGCAUUGUGGUUAAUAACCACAGUGAUUGACGUUACUCGCAGAAGAAGCACCGGCUAACUCCGUGCCAGCCGCCGCAGUAACAC
rnacentral:rRNA from 1 species